CCUACGGGAGGCAGCAGUGGGGAAUAUUGCACAAUGGGGGGAACCCUGAUGCAGCGACGCCGCGUGAGUGAAGAAGUAUUUCGGUAUGUAAAGCUCUAUCAGCAGGAACGAGACAAGCCGGUACCUGACUAAGAAGCCCCGGCCAACUACGUGCCAGCAGCCGCGGUAAUACGUAGGGGGCAAGCGUUAUCCGGAAUCACUGGGUGUAUAGGGAGCGUAGACGGCUGAGCAAGCCUGAAGUGAAAGGCGGGGGCCCAACCCCCGGACUGCUUUGGGAACUGUACGGCUGGAGGGCAGGAGAGGUAAGUGGAAUGCGUAGUGUAGCGGUGAAAUGCGUAGAUAUUAGGAGGAACACCAGUGGCGAAGGCGGCUUACUGGACUGUAACUGACGUUGAGGCUCGAAAGCGUGGGGAGCAAACAGGAUUAGAUACCCUUGUAGUC
rnacentral:rRNA from 1 species